CGCGUAGGUGGCUCUGUAAGUAGGUGGUGAAAGCCCACGGCUCAACCGUGGAUACGCCUCCUAAACUGUGGAGCUUGAGGCUGGGAGAGGGAAUCGGAAUUCCUGGUGUAGCGGUGAAAUGCGUAGAUAUCAGGAGGAACACCGGUGGCGAAGGCGGAUUCCUGGACCAGUUCUGACACUGAGGAGCGAAAGCCAGGGGAGCAAACA
rnacentral:rRNA from 1 species